rnacentral:ncRNA from 1 species
UUUCUUCCAAAGUUUCCCUCAGGAUAGCUGGCACUCAUCCAUCUCUGAAGUUUUAUCUUGUAAAGCAAAUGAUUAGAGGUCUUGGGGCUGAAACGAUCUCAACCUGUUCUCAAAGUUUAAAUGGUUAAGAAGCCCAGCUCACUGACGUUCAGCCGGACAUGGAAUGUGAGUGCGUAGUGGGCCACUUCUGGUAAGCAGAACUGGCUCUGUGGGAUGAACCGAAUGCUGGGUUAAGGUGCCUGGUGCUGAUGCUUAUCAGACCCCAGAAAAGGUGUUGGUUGAUAUAGAAAGCAGGACGGUGGCCAUGGAUGUUGGAAUCUGCUAAGGAGUGUGUAACAACUCACCUGCUGAAUCAACUAGCCCUGAAAAUGGAUGGUGCUGGAGCAUCGGGCCCAUACCCAGCCAUCACCAGAAAUGAGAUCUGCAGGGGCUAGGUGGCGAUGAGUAGGAGGGCCACUGCGGUGGGCCUUGAAGCCUAGGGCACGGGCCUGGGUGGAGCCACCACAGGUG